AAUUGUUAAGGAAUAGCUUGGGAGGGUAUUGGAACGUGAGCUUCAUUUUAAAGCUCAUCCAUACACCAGAUUAGUCUCUGCUGAGAAAGGAGCCUCCCUCAUCAAGGUGGACUGAAGGUGGGGAUCAUUAUCUAAACAAAGAAUUUCCCACGGGACAGGGAGAAGGCCUGUCUGUGAGUGAGAAUUUAUGCAGAUGCCAGACAGAGUUAGAUUGCAACACCACCAGAAAGAGGGGAGGGGAUAAGUGUAGCUUUUUAAGUAGAGGAAUCUAAUAAUGCAACCAGUUUUUAGACAGUCACCUAGCAGAUGGGUCUGAUUUAUUGAGGAAAGUGAAAAUACUUCUUCUAAAACUCAAAGCCUUCUCCCUAACUUAAGAGGCAUGUUCUUGUUAUGUCUUCCCUAAAAUCAUGAGUUGUGACCAAAGAAGGCUUCUGCUAUUUUUCUGGAUGUUCUGUGCCUGACAUCAGGAUGAAAAAGAUGAGGAAGAGUCCUGUGUGCUCUUCUGUGUUUUGCUCAUUGAGUUUUAGUCCCUGGCCCCUCUAAUGAUAUUUACCUUCAAAUGGGUAAUAUUAGCACGAGAUAGCUAUGACAAACUGAACGAAUAAUUGUAAAGUCUGAUGUAUACAUAAAUGCAAUGUUUUGUUCACUAGGUAACAGGACCAGUCCUCUCCGCUGCAGUAACUAUGACAACCUAGAUUCUGUCAGUUCUGUUUUGGUUCAGAGUCCUGAGAAUAAGAUUUAGUUACAAGGGCUUCAAGUUCUCCUUCCAGACUAUCUCCAGGAGUGCUUUGUACAAGCAGCUCUGAGCUACAUCGCUUGCAAUUCGGAAGGAGAGUUUAUCUGCAAGGACAAUGACUGCUGGUGUCAGUGUGGCCCCAGGUUCCCAGAAUGCAACUGCCCCUCCAUGGACAUCCAAGCUGUGGAAGAGAAUCUUCUUCGAGUAACUGAAACCUGGGAAGUCUACAACAGCAACUUUGAGGAGUCAGAGAUUUUUCUUUGGUGAAGAUGUCAAUACUGUAGUGCAUGAAGACCAUUUUAUAAUGCAGUGAUAUCCAUGUUGUGAUCUUCACCUACUUACGGUUCCUGGAAAGCCCAUAUACCUGAUACUUGUAUUGUUUCUCAAAAGCAUCCUCCUGCUAGACAACACAACUAUUGAUGAAAGCAAUAAAAUAACAAAACUAUAAACAAGACUAAACAACGUGAGACUGAAUGUCUUUUAACAUUAUUAUAAAAUAUUUUAGAAAUUAUUACAAUAACAUUUAUCAAUUGUCUAAAAGUAGAACAGUAGACGGAGAACCCCAGAUCGAGAUUUACUUCUUGGAGGCUC